rnacentral:lncRNA from 10 species
GCCAAUCAGGGCAUCACACUCCCCAGGCCAUGGUGACUGGUUCAGGAGUGGGCAUGUGACCCAAUCAAAGACAAAGGGUUUAUUUUUCUACGACAUUUGUAGGAGAUGCAUAUGCCCUUCUCUCCACCAGGCUUCAACCUGGAAGAAGGGAAAGCCUAGAUAUGCCAGGGCCCAUGAGGAUAAAUGACCCCCAGUCAAGGAAGCAGAACCAACGAACAGAGAGAAACUGAAUUCUGUGAUAUUCACACCCUGAAUCCACCAUAUCUGAAAUUCAUCCAAACCUUUGGAUGGCGUUUUACGAGACAAUACAUUCUUUUUUUCUUCUUCAACUGUUAAGAGUCCAAACUUUAGGGUCCCCACCUUGUUACUUGCAAUGAAACGGACACAGUGGAAGACAGCUUGGAGUAGGAAAAGGACUGAAGACUGCAGCAGCCAGGUGAACUUCUAUUCGUCCAUCAAGACCCAACCCAAAGUAAGGAAACCAAGACUUCGAGAGUCAAUAACUCAAGAUACCUUAGCUAGUGAAGUUAAGAGCUGGAUUCCACUCCAAAUGAGUCUCAACCCAAAGCUUUCACUCAUCCUACUAAACUAAGCCAAAAACCCACUUGAAGCCAGGCGGGAGGGCUCACGCCUGUAAUCCCAGCACUUUGGGAGGCCGAGGCUGGCGGAUCACCUGAGGUCGGGAGUUCAAGACCAGCCUGGCCACUAUGGUGAAACUCCGUUUCUACUAAAAAUAAAAAAAAUAGCCGGGCAUCAUGGUGGGUGCCUGUAGUCCCAGCUACUCGAGAGGCUGAGGCAGGAUAAUCGUUUGAACCCGGGAGGCGGAAGUUGCAGUGAGCUGAGAUUGCACCAUUGCACUCCAGCCUGGGCGACAAAGCGAGACUCCGUCUCAAACAACAACAACAACAAACUACACUCUAGUCUGGGCGACAGAGCAAGACCCUGUCUUAAAAACAAACAAACAAACAAGGAAACCCCAUUUGUAACUGCCACUAAUUGGACUAUACUUCUGGUGGGCCAUCUUCAAGCUUCGGGCUUGAAUAAACCCUAU